rnacentral:lncRNA from 1 species
GUUGAUGCUUAUUCUGCUGCCUCUUUGAGGGCCAGCCCAUAUGCGGUUCCAGGUUUAAGAGCUGGUGGGUUCAUGGGAAAUCAGGUUAUACUGCCACUCGCACACACCUUGGAGCAUGAAGAGGUAACGAGUUAAUUCAGCACUUUCUCAGUUCUCUCAUCAUAGUGAAUUGCCUUAUCAGUGUAUCAAGCUAGAUUCCUUUUAUUUGCAGUUCCUUGAGGUCCUUAGGCUGGAAGGACAUGGUUUUAGCCACGACGAGGUGCUUCUUGCACGAGAUAUGUACCUUCUGCAGGUAUGGUAUUUCUCUGACUGUUUCUUCAGGUUGUUAUAUGGUUGCUGUGUCCUGAGUGUGUGAUGAUAUUAUUUUGAAACUGCAGCUUUGCAGCGGUGUUGAUGAGAAUGCUUCAGGCGCUUGCGCGCAGCUUGUCUUUGCACCUAUAGAUGAAUCUUUUGCUGAUGAUGCGCCGCUGCUACCCUCAGGCUUCCGUGUUAUACCACUGGACACAAAGACGGUUAGUAACAUUUGAUCAAUGCUGCUAUUAUAUUCCUAAGCCUCAUCUUGUUUUAGUUGUGAUACUAUUAAGUGCUAACUAGUUGAUUGUAAACUGGACUGCAGGAUGUGCCAUCUGCCACACGCACACUCGACCUCGCGUCCGCCCUUGAUGUUGGAUCAGGUGGAGCUUUGCGUGGUUCAGGUGACUCCCCAGGUGGGUGCAGUACGCGAUCGGUCCUGACCAUUGCCUUCCAGUUCUCAUUCGAGAACCACCUCCGCGAAAGCGUGGCAGCAAUGGCAAGGCAGUAUGUGAGGGCUGUAAUGGCAUCGGUUCAGAGGGUGGCCAUGGCGAUAGCUCCUUCUCGCCUCGGCGGCUCGCAGAUCCAACUGAAGCACCCUCCAGGCUCUCCCGAGGCGCUUACACUUGCUAGCUGGAUAGGAAGGAGCUACAGGUAAAAUAAAACCCUCUACGCGGCCUUAUCCUGAAAUCAUGUAUGCUUCUGUUUGGCCACUGUUUCUUAAGUUGUGGAAACCUGCAGGGCUCACACGGGGGAAGAGAUCCGCUGGUCGGACACUGAAGAAGCCGACUCUCCCCUGAAGCUCCUGUGGAACCACAGCGACGCUAUACUCUGCUGCUCUCUGAAGGUGAUUUUUGUACUCAGUUGUUUUGCCUGUGCUGCCUACUUCAAAAAGGAAUGAAAAGAUUUCCUGUACUGAAACCACCACCUAACCUUGACAAUGUGUUAACCUUGGUUAGCCUGCUCCGAUGUUCACGUUUGGUAACAACGCGGCCCUGGAUAUGCUGGAGACGACGCUGGUGAACCUGCAGGACAUCUCGCUGGAGGCGAUCCUGGACGAUGAGGGGCGCAAGGCGCUGUGCGCCGAGUUCUCCAAGGUCAUGCAGCAGGUAACUUCAACUAACCAACUGACCAGCAGCAAUGCACCUCCUACUAUGUAUCAUCUCUUUCAGUAGUGAGUAGAGCAGCACUCCGCUGGUUACAGGACUGACUGAACGGGAUGUUCCAUUUGAUACAACAGGGUUUCGCGUACCUCCCUGGCGGCGUGUGCAAAUCGAGCAUGGGGCGGCAGGUGUCGUACGAGCAGGCGGUGGCGUGGAAGGUGGUGGGCGACGACGUGGCGGGCGCCCCACACUGCCUCGCCUUCAUGUUCGUCAACUGGACCUUCCUGUGACCGCCAUCUACCCAUCUGCUGCUUGAGCAAAAGACCUUCCUGUCGUCUGUCCGUUUUGUAUGGUUCAGUUAUCUAUCUAUGUACCCAUCCUAGCUAUGGUAUGUAUGGUUUGCAUCUUUGUUGAGAACCUGAUCUGAGGUUUGUUGCCGUGAACCGAAACAUAGUUGGCAUUCCUUCCCGUGUUGAUCGGGAACAAGACCUAUGUAUGUGUGUGUAACUGUCAGUGUCAUGAACCGAACAGUGGCUUGCGGUUCCUGUAAUUUUGCUUUGCGUGCCCACCCCUGUGCCUUGCUUGUGUCAGGUCAUGAAGGUGACAAACUUAUCUUAGGAUA